rnacentral:rRNA from 1 species
AACGAACGCUGGCGGCAUGCCUAACACAUGCAAGUCGAACGAGAUCUUCGGGUCUAGUGGCGCACGGGUGCGUAACGCGUGGGAAUCUGCCCUUUGGUUCGGAAUAACAGUUGGAAACGACUGCUAAUACCGGAUGAUGACGAAAGUCCAAAGAUUUAUCGCCAGAGGAUGAGCCCGCGUAGGAUUAGCUAGUUGGUGUGGUAAAGGCGCACCAAGGCGACGAUCCUUAGCUGGUCUAAGAGGAUGAUCAGCCACACUGGGACUGAGACACGGCCCAGACUCCUACGGGAGGGAGCAGUGGGGAAUAUUGGACAAUGGGCGAAAGCCUGAUCCAGCAAUGCCGCGUGAGUGAUGAAGGCCUUAGGGUUGUAAAGCUCUUUUACCCGGGAUGAUAAUGACAGUACCGGGAGAAUAAGCUCCGGCUAACUCCGUGCCAGCAGCCGCGGUAA